UGGGGGAUAGUAUAACGGCAGUACCGCGGUCUCUGGAACCGCUAGUCUGGGUUCGAAUCCCAGUCCCCCAGCCA
rnacentral:tRNA from 1 species